rnacentral:rRNA from 1 species
GGAUCCAGACUUUGAUUAUGGCUCAGGAUGAACGCUAGCUACAGGCUUAACACAUGCAAGUCGAGGGGAAACGACAUCGAAAGCUUGCUUUUGAUGGGCGUCGACCGGCGCACGGGUGAGUAACGCGUAUCCAACCUGCCCAUCACUUGGGAAUAACCUUGCGAAAGUAAGACUAAUACCCAAUGACAUCCCACGAAGGCAUCCGAAUGGGAUUAAAGAUUUAUCGGUGAUGGAUGGGGAUGCGUCUGAUUAGCUUGUUGGCGGGGUAACGGCCCACCAAGGCAACGAUCAGUAGGGGUUCUGAGAGGAAGGUCCCCCACAUUAGAACUGAGACACGGUCCAAACUCCUACGGGAGGCAGCAGUGAGGAAUAUUGGUCAAUGGGCGAGAGCCUGAACCAGCCAAGUAGCGUGCAGGAUGACGGCCCUAUGGGUUGUAGACUGCUUUUAUAAGGGAAUAAAGUGAGUCUCGUGAGACUUUUUGCAUGUACCUUAUGAAUAAGGACCGGCUAAUUCCGUGCCAGCAGCCGCGGUAAUACGGAAGGUCCGGGCGUUAUCCGGAUUUAUUGGGUUUAAAGGGAGCGUAGGCCGGAGAUUAAGCGUGUUGUGAAAUGUAGUGGCUCAACCUCUGCACCGCAGCGCGAACUGGUCUUCUUGAGUACGCACAACGUGGGCGGAAUUCGUGGUGUAGCGGUGAAAUGCUUAGAUAUCACGAAGAACUCCGAUUGCGAAGGCAGCUCACGGGAGCGCAACUGACGCUGAAGCUCGAAAGUGCGGGUAUCGAACAGGAUUAGAUACCCUGGUAGUCCGCACGGUAAACGAUGGAUGCCCGCUGUUGGCCUGAAUAGGUCAGCGGCCAAGCGAAAGCAUUAAGCAUCCCACCUGGGGAGUACGCCGGCAACGGUGCAACUCAAAUGAAUUGACGG